rnacentral:rRNA from 1 species
CAGUAGCCGCGGGAAUACGGAGGAUCCAAGCGUUAUCCGGAAUCAUUGGGUUUAAAGGGUCCGUAGGCGGUCUUGUAAGUCAGUGGUGAAAGCCCAUCGCUCAACGGUGGAACGGACAUUGAUACUGCAGGACUUGAAUUAUUGGGAAGUAACUAGAAUAUGUAGUGUAGCGGUGAAAUGCUUAGAGAUUACAUGGAAUACCAAUUGCGAAGGCAGGUUACUACCAAUUGAUUGACGCUGAUGGACGAAAGCGUGGGUAGCGAACAGGAUUAGAUACCCCGGUAGUCCCUGUCUCUUAUAC